UAGUCAUAUGCUUGUCUCAAAGAUUAAGCCAUGCAUGUCUCAGUGUAAACUUUUAAACAGUGAAACUGCGAAUGGCUCAUUAAAACAGUUAUAGUUUAUUUGAUAUUCAUUUUACAAGGAUAACCUUGGCAAUUCUAUGGCUAAUACAUGCGUACCCGCAAGGGUUGUGUUUAUUAGAUUAUAAACCAACACAUCAGCAAUGAUGUUAAGUUGGAAUGAUAAUAACCAAUCGGAUCGCAUGCUUCACAGCGGCGACAGAUCAUUCAAGUUUCUGAUUU
rnacentral:rRNA from 1 species